rnacentral:rRNA from 1 species
UGGGGAAUAUUGGACAAUGGGCGCAAGCCUGAUCCAGCAAUGCCGCGUGUGUGAAGAAGGCCUUCGGGUUGUAAAGCACUUUUAUCAGGAGCGAAACGCUGUCGGCUAAUACCCGGCGGAACUGACGGUACCUGAGGAAUAAGCACCGGCUAACUUCGUGCCAGCAGCCGCGGUAAUACGAAGGGUGCAAAGCUGAUUAAUGACGGAAUUACUGGGCGUAAAAGCGUGCGUAGGCGGUUUCUUAAGUCUGCUGUGAAAAUCCCCGGGCUCAACCUGGGAAUGGCAGUGGAUACUGGGAGGCUAGAGUGUGUCAGAGGGUGGUGGAAUUCCCGGUGUAGCGGUGAAAUGCGUAGAGAUCGGGAGGAACAUCAGUGGCGAAGGCGGCCACCUGGGACAACACUGACGCUGAGGCACGAAAAGCGUGGGGAGCAAACAGGAUUAGAUACCCUGGUAGUCCACGCCCUAAAACGAUGCGAACUGGAUGUUGGUCUCAACUCGGAGAUCAGUGUCG